rfam:Myotis lucifugus cont2.34644, whole genome shotgun sequence.
GUAAGGAGAUCUGGCUGCAAAAUCUGUUAGCCCAUUGAUCUCCAGGGUUGAUUUGGCUAAUCUGGCUGGCUAGGUGAGUCUCCCCUUCCUUCCUCACCGAUGUGUGCCCCUCCUGAAGCUGCACACUUUGUUGAAGAGGAUUACCUUCCCCAAUAGAGCAGAGUACCAUUUCUCUACUAGAAUUUUCAAAUAAACUCUCAAAAGCUGUUAUUUAAAAAAUGGAACUUGUCUCAUAUGCGAGCCCAAGAUCUCUAUUGCUUUUAAUCUACACAUGCAU